rnacentral:rRNA from 1 species
CCUACGGGUGGCUGCAGUGGGGAAUAUUGGACAAUGGGCGAAAGCCUGAUCCAGCAAUGCCGCGUGUGUGAAGAAGGCCUUCGGGUUGUAAAGCACUUUAAGCGAGGAGGAAGUGCCAUCGGCAAAUACCCGGUGGUGUUGACGUUACUCGCAGAAUAAGCACCGGCUAACUCUGUGCCAGCAGCCGCGGUAAUACAGAGGGUGCAAGCGUUAAUCGGAAUUACUGGGCGUAAAGCGCGCGUAGGCGGUUUGUUAAGUCUGUUGUGAAAUCCCUG